rnacentral:rRNA from 1 species
UACGGAGGAUUCGAGCGUUAUCCGGAAUCAUUGGGUUUAAAGGGUCCGUAGGCGGCCUUAUAAGUCAGUGGUGAAAUCUCCAGGCUCAACCUGGAAAUUGCCAUUGAUACUGUAGGGCUUGAAUGUUUAGGAAGUAACUAGAAUAUGUAGUGUAGCGGUGAAAUGCUUAGAUAUUACAUGGAAUACCAAUUGCGAAGGCAGGUUACUACUAAAUGAUUGACGCUGAUGGACGAAAGCGUGGGUAGCGAACAGG